GCCGAGAUGGUGAAACUGGUAGACACGUUGGACUCAAAAUCCAAUGGCCGCGAGGCCGUGCCGGUUCGAUUCCGGCUCUCGGUACCA
rnacentral:tRNA from 1 species